CCGUAGCGACGUCUCAUGGAAUGUUUUUUCGCGUUUAACGCAAUACAAUACAACUUUCAGCAACGGAUCUCUUGGCUCUCGCAUCGAUGAAGAACGCAGCGAAAUGCGAUAAGUAAUGUGAAUUGCAGAAUUCAGUGAAUCAUCGAAUCUUUGAACGCACCUUGCGCCCCUUGGUUAUUCCUCGGAGCAUGCCUGUUUGAGUAUCAUGAACACCUCAACUCUCAUGGUCUUCCAUGACGAGCUUGGACUUUGGGGGUUUGCUGGCCUUGUGGCCGGCUCCUCUCAAAUGAAUCAGCUUGCCAGUGUUUGGCGGCGUCACGGGUGUGAUAACUAUCUACGCUCGCGGUCGUCCGCCAGGUAACCCUCAGCGAUGAAGGUUCAUUGGGGCUCAUAAACGUCUCUCCCCAGCGAGGACAACUUUUGAACGUUCGAUCUCAAAUCAGG
rnacentral:rRNA from 1 species